GACGAACGCUGGCGGCGUGCUUAACACAUGCAAGUCGAACGGGCCUUGUCCCCUUUUUUUUUGGGGGUGGGGUUAGUGGCGAACGGGUGAGUAACACGUGAGUAACCUGCCCCUCACUUCUGGAUAACCGCUUGAAAGGGUGGCUAAUACGGGGUGUUCUGGCCUGCUCGCAUGGGUGGGUUUGGAAAGAUUUGACCGGAUUGGUUGUUUUGGUGGGGGAUGGGCUCGCGGCCUAUCAGCUUGUUGGUGGGGUGGUGGCCUGCCAAGGCUCUGACGGGUAGCCGGCCUGAGAGGGUGGGCGGUCACACUGGGACUGAGACACGGCCCAGACUCCUACGGGAGGCAGCAGUGGGGAAUAUUGCACAAUGGGCGCAAGCCUGAUGCAGCGACGCCGCGUGAGGGAUGGAGGCCUUCGGGUUGUGAACCUCUUUCGCCAGUGAAGAAGGUCCUGCUCUUUGUGGUGGGGUUGACGGUAGCUGGGUUAAUGAAGCGCCGGCUAACUACGUG
rnacentral:rRNA from 1 species